ACGUGAUCUGAGUUCAGACCGGAGUAAUCCAGGUCAGUUUCUAUCUAUAAAGGGCUUUUUCUAGUACGAAAGGACCGAAAAAGCAUGGCCAAUGAUAAAUUUAAGCCAUAUUAAUAAUUUAUGACCAAAACUAAAUUAAUAAGUAACCUAUGAUAUUUCUCAAAAAAAGAGAA
rnacentral:rRNA from 1 species